rnacentral:rRNA from 1 species
GACGAACGCUGGCGGCGUGCUUCAUACAUGCAAGUCGAACGAGAAGCUGACGACGGUCAGUGUCAAGCGGCGGAGGGGGGAGUAAUAUGUAGGAAAGCUUCCCUUAGGAGGGGGACAACAGAGAGAAACUUAUGCUAAUACUCCAUAUGAGCGUAGCUGAGAUGCUAUUCUUGAAAACUCCGGUGCCGAAAGAUGAGUCUGCAUCGGAUUAGCUAGCUGGUAGUGUAAUGGACUCCCAAGGCGAUGAUCAGUAGCAGGAUUGCGGGGAUGCUAAGCCAAAAUCGGACGGAGACACGAGCCGUAAUCCUACCGGAAGCGGCGGUAGGGAAAUGUACGCAAGCGGCGUAAGUCAUACGGAGCUACGCCGCGUGAAAGAUUAAUCCCUUCGAAGAACAAAGUUCUGUGAGUGGGGACGAAUCUUGACGGUACCCACAGAGAAAGCACCGGCUAACUCCGUG